rnacentral:rRNA from 1 species
AUACGGAAGGUGCAAGCGUUGUCCGGAUUUAUUGGGCGUAAAGGGCUCGUAGGCGGUUUCGUAAGUCGGGUGCGAAAACUCAGGGCUCAACCCUGAGACGCCACUCGAUACUGCGAUGACUUGAGUCCGGUAGGGGAGCAGGGAAUUCCUGGUGUAGCGGUGAAAUGCGCAGAUAUCAGGAGGAACACCAUUAGCGAAGGCGCUGCUCUGGGCCGGUACUGACGCUGAGGAGCGAAAGCAUGGGGAGCAAACAGGAUUAGAAACCCUAGUAGUCC